GCACCCGUAGCUCAGCUGGAUAGAGCGUUGCCCUCCGAAGGCAAAGGCCACAGGUUCGAAUCCUGUCGGGUGCGCCA
rnacentral:tRNA from 46 species